GAUGAACGCUGGCGGCGUGCUUAACACAUGCAAGUCGAACGGGGAACCUUUUAUUGAAGCUUCGGCAGAUUUAGAUUGUUUCUAGUGGCGGACGGGUGAGUAACGCGUGGGUAACCUGCCUUAUACAGGGGGAUAACAGUCAGAAAUGACUGCUAAUACCGCAUAAGCGCACAGAGCUGCAUGGCUCGGUGUGAAAAACUCCGGUGGUAUAAGAUGGACCCGCGUUGGAUUAGCUGGUUGGUGAGGUAACGGCCCACCAAGGCGACGAUCGGUAGCCGGACUGAGAGGUUGAACGGCCACAUUGGGACUGAGACACGGCCCAG
rnacentral:rRNA from 1 species